rnacentral:rRNA from 1 species
AUGUGCGCUGAUAUUGGAAAAGGCAAGAGCAAUACCUUGGAAUGGAGCGGCGCGGGGUCCCUGGGAGACCCCGGCGACCCCUCGUCGUCCUCGUCGUUCGCCGCGACGGCGGCGGCGUCGUCGUCCUGGAACAGGUCCGGCUCGGCGUUGAGGCCCCGGAGGAGGAAGAAGCCGGCGAUGGUGGCGGAGAGGAAGAUGAGUAUCACCCUCAGCGGGCACAUCUUUGCCCCGAACAAUCAACCGAGGAUCGCACGGGAAUCAAAUCAAGCAAGGCUCCCCCUUUCGCCCCUCUCGUCGGCGUGGCGAGAAUGGGAGGGGAUUAGGGACGGCAGGAGGAGGAGGACGAGGAGGAAGAGUAGGUUGGUGGGCGGAUGGAUGGAUGGAUGUUGA